rnacentral:rRNA from 1 species
UACGUAGGGACCAAGCGUUGUUCGGAUUUACUGGGCGUAAAGGGCGCGUAGGCGGCAAUUCAAGUCAUCUGUGAAAUCUCCGGGCUUAACUCGGAAUGGUCAGGUGAUACUGCUUUGCUAGAGUGCAGAAGGGGCAAUCGGAAUUCUUGGUGUAGCGGUGAAAUGCGUAGAUAUCAAGAGGAACACCUGAGGUGAAGACGGGUUGCUGGGCUGAUACUGACGCUGAGGCGCGAAAGCUAGGGUAGCAAACGGG